GGUGAACGCUAGCGAUAGGCUUAACACAUGCAAGUCGAGGGGCAGCAUGGUCUUAGCUUGCUAAGGCUGAUGGCGACCGGCGCACGGGUGCGUAACGCGUAUGCAACUUGCCUCACAGAGGGGGAUAACCCGUCGAAAGACGGACUAAUACCGCGUACACUCUAUGUUGGGCAUCCAAUGUAGAGGAAAUGAAAUUCGCUGUGAGAUAGGCAUGCGUCCCAUUAGCUAGUUGGUGAGGUAACGGCUCACCAAGGCGACGAUGGGUAGGGGAACUGAGAGGUUGAACCCCCACACUGGUACUGAGACACGGACCAGACUCCUACGGGAGGCAGCAGUGAGGAAUAUUGGUCAAUGGGCGAGAGCCUGAACCAGCCAAGUCGCGUGAAGGAUGACUGUCUUAUGGAUUGUAAACUUCUUUUAUACGGGAAUAACAAGAGUCACGUGUGGCUCCCUGCAUGUACCGUAUGAAUAAGCAUCGGCUAACUCCGUG
rnacentral:rRNA from 1 species